CGCGAGUUUCGAGACGGCAGUACCCAUGCGCGAGGUGGCAGCAGAUACCGUGGAAACAACAACUCUGCCGCCUUUUAGCGGACUGCCUGGGACCGUGGGCGCGCAUCCCCUCCUCUCUUUUUUUUCUUGGCAGAGGAUGGUGGGAGGAAGAAGGGGAGACGACAAAGAAAAGCAAGGAAAACUUCGACAAACCCUCCAACCCCGUGCUAAAUGCUUUGGUAUACCUGUAAAUAAAUGAAUACAUAACCAG
ensembl:lncRNA